rnacentral:rRNA from 1 species
AUGAACGCUGGCGGCGUGCUUAAUACAUGCAAGUCGAACGAAGAGCCCUUAACCGAAGAUGAUGACGUGCUUGCACUGACUCUGAUUCACCUUAGGGUUACUGAGUGGCGGACGGGUGAGUAACGCGUGGGUAACCUGCCUUAGACAGGGGGAUAACAUCAAGAAAUUGGUGCUAAUACCGCAUAUGCUCACAGUAUCGCAUGAUACAGUGAGGAAAACUCCGGUGGUCUAAGAUGGACCCGCGUCUGAUUAGCUAGUUGGAGGGGUAACGGCCCACCAAGGCGACGAUCAGUAGCCGACUUGAGAGAGUGAUCGGCCACAUUGGGACUGAGACACGGCCCAAACUCCUACGGGGGGCAGCAGUAGGGAAUAUUGCACAAUGGGAGAAACCCUGAUGCAGCGACGCCGCGUGAAGGAUGAAGUAUUUCGGUAUGUAAACUUCUAUCAGCAAGGAAGAAAAUGACGGUACUUGACUAAGAAGCCCCGGCUAAAUACGUGCCAGCCGCCGC